AACGAACGCUGGCGGCAUGCCUAACACAUGCAAGUCGAACGAGACCUUCGGGUCUAGUGGCGCACGGGUGCGUAACGCGUGGGAACCUGCCCUUAGGUUCGGAAUAACUCCCCGAAAGGGGUGCUAAUACCGGAUAAUGUCUUCGGACCAAAGAUUUAUCGCCUUUGGAUGGGCCCGCGUUGGAUUAGCUAGUUGGCAGGGUAAAAGCCUACCAAGGCGACGAUCCAUAGCUGGUCUGAGAGGAUGAUCAGCCACACUGGGACUGAGACACGGCCCAGACUCCUACGGGAGGCAGCAGUGGGGAAUAUUGGACAAUGGGCGAAAGCCUGAUCCAGCAAUGCCGCGUGAGUGAUGAAAGCCUUAGGGUUGUAAAGCUCUUUUACCCGGGAUGAUAAUGACAGUACCGGGAGAAUAAGCUCCGGCUAACUCCGUG
rnacentral:rRNA from 1 species